rnacentral:rRNA from 1 species
CAAUAGCGUAUAUUAAAGUUGUUGCGGUUAAAAAGCUCGUAGUUGGAUUUCUGUUGAGAACGUCCGGUCCGCACUAUGUGCGUGUAUCUGGUUCGGUCUUGGCAUCCUCUUGAGGAACGUAUCUGCGCUUGAUUGCGUGGAGCGGUAUUCAAGACUUUUACUUUGAGGAAAUUAGAGUGUUCACGGCAGGCAAGCGCCUUGAAUACGUUAGCAUGGAAUAAUAAUAUAGGAUCUUGGUUCUAUUUUGUUGGUUUCUAGGGCUAAGGUAAUGAUUAAUAGGGAUAAUUGGGGGCAUUUGUAUUAACGCGUCAGAGGUGGAAUUCUUGGAUUGCGUUACGACAAACUACUGCGAAAGCAUUUGCCAAGGAUGUUUUCAUUGG